GUUUUGUCUGGGUGCGGAAUAUUUGUAAGGGAUUUUUGUGGCAUUACAUUUGCCCAUAAAAUUAUAUUCUCAAUAACUAAAAUCGUGUUAAAUCAAACUUUGGCAGACUUUCUACUCAGACUAGAGUCAACUUAUUCAAUUGUGGUUCAGAAUAUCUGAAAGUUGCCAAACUACUUGGGUGUGAACAUGUUACUGAACAAACUCUCUGGCUCAAACUUCUGAAGAGACUCCGAAGGAUCUAGUUGGCUUUGUGAUGCUGCCUGACUUGCUGAGUGUUUCCAACAUUUUCUCCCUUCAUCUCUACACAAACACUGCUGACUAUGAGCCAAUUGGAAAAGCUCUCAGUUUGGAUUCAGUAUGGAGUGCAACUACGGCCAUCCCUUGGAGUGACUAUGUUGACUCCUAAUGAUGGAAUGCAAACCCAUGGUCAGCACCAUUACUCCACACUGAAUGAUGCACCGAGCAACACUAAAAUGGACGAGGACAAGAGCGGAAAAGGGACGUGUGUUCAGUGCCGCCUGCCUGCAUUUGACUGGUCUCUCUUUUACUGUUUCCAGCAGAAAAUGCAGGAGUCUUGGAUCCCACGCGUGCUGCAAUGUUCGAUUGCUUCGGCAGCUCUUGGAUGUGGAUUCACUUUCAGCUGUGGUUAGAUGUUUAAUGUCCUCAGCACUGAACGGGCUUUAAUAGUUGUUCAAUUUUAUCGAGACACUUUGGCACAGAAUUGGAUCUGCAGCUAUGGUUUGCAGCCAUUGACACAGUGCUGAACUGAGUGAUUCGGUGGCCGUAUUCGUGGCCGUUGGGCCCUGGACCAGCUUCACUUACCUUGGCAGCUCGUGGAUGUGGACUCUUUUUUGGGGAUUCCAUGGUUUGACAUUUAAUAUUCUGUGUUAUUUGUUUGCUUUAUGUUGUUUGCAUGAUUUGUUCUGUUUUUUGCACAUUUGUGUGGGUUUUUUCUUUAAACGGGUUCUUUGGUGUUUCUUCGUUUUAUGACUGCCUGCAAGAAGAAGAAUCUCAAGGUUGUAUACUGCACACAUACUUUAAUAAUGUAUUUAGGACUUGAUAAAUUUAUUCUUUGAGCCUGUCCUUGAGUGCUAUUACAUCUGAUGACUGGAUGCCACAUUAUACAAAUCUUUACUGGGUAAAUACCACUUUCAGGUUUGGACAACUCCAUGCAGAGUGCUUACUCUCUAUAUAUUGUCAUUUUGCAAUUCAUCCAAGGAACAAUGCUAGAUAAGGUUUGCUGAUGAGCCAGAAGUUAUCCACUGGCCUCAAAGUCCCAGCUUUGAUUCUGCCACCCAGGUUCUCAUCCUGCUGGAAUCGCAUCCAUUCUGGUUCUGGAUGUGGCUUCUCAAGGCCCAUAAUCUGACUGGACCACUUCAUUUUAUGAGAGGUAUGAGGCUUCUUGCCUAGCUCCUACUAGUUAAUGUUAAUGAAUUAUGUCAGAAAUGAGUAAAACUUGCUUGCAGCAGCUUCACAGACACAUAGGUACCGACAAAUUAUCCAAGACAGUGAAGAGAGAGCAAAAAAGUUAAUCAGAGACAAGUCCAUGGUUGUACAAGAAGUGUGUCGUUGUGUUCCAUUGCUGAGUAGGGUUCAAGUUGUGCAGAUUGGCUCAAGAACUUGUUAGUUGUAGGAAGGUAGCUGUUCCCGAGCCUGGUGGUGUAGGACUUCAAAUGCUUUGACUCUCAAAUGGGCUGGUACAACUGCAGAUUUUCUCUUGUUGGCACCCCUCAGGGUUAUUCAGUAACUGGCUGAUUGAUUAGCCAUUCAAAGCUGCACUGUGGAAAAUUGUACCCCUUAAUACAUACAUUUUGCAGACAGAGAAAGCAAAUAAUGUCAAGUAGGGGAUCUGUAAUAUACCCAGUAAAAUUCUCCUUAAAGGAAAAUUAAAUAGAUUGCAUAAUGAGUAAUUUACUACCCAUUUUCUCCCUACUAAAACUAUAUUUUACUACCUUUGUUUUCCAAAUGUUUUUCUGUGGUGACAACUUAAAGGUUAAUUCACAUCAUUCUUGAAAAUACUUUGCUAUUUUAUAUUUUUAAUCGCUUAAUUUUUAUGGAUCUGAUUAAUGGCUCUUAUGCGGAACAAACUGAUGUUAGUUCAGCAUAAUGUAUGUGUUUUUCCUUCAACAUCCUCAGGGACACAUAACUUGAACUAAGAAAAAGGAACUGUAUUUGCAAUCAUGCAUUACACUAUUUGUAAAUGACAUAAGUGUAUGUGUAUUGGAAUGGCUUCCUCUUAGCAGGAAUGCUGGUCGUAAUUUGCUAAACUGAAAAGGUAUGGCUGACAGAAUUCCAGUGGUCUUUAGAGAACAAGAUUAUAGAUAGUGUCAAACAUGGUUCUGUUUAAAAUUACAAAAUUGGUUUACAGCCUGUGGUUAACCACCCACGGUAUACAGCAUGCAGCAUAUAAUGUUUUGUGACAGAACUAAAGUGGUUGUCAUGUCUUCCAAGAAGUUUUGCAAGACAACUUUAUUCUUCUGUUUAAAAAUCAUUUUCAAGAACAAUUUUAUGCAUAUUUUUCAGAAACACAUUACUACAAGCUCUAAACCUGUGAGGACUAUUUUCAUCAUAUCCUGGGCUAAAUGUUUGUGAUUGCAACACCUUUUUGCUAAAAGGAUAUAGCAUAAGUGUUAGUUCUACUGAGUUAGUUGAACAAAAUGUCUCACUUCAGCGUUCUCAGAAACAAAGUAUUAAAUAAAGUUAGCAGUUUAUUGUGAUAAUGGGUCUUCAAUUGAAGCUGCAGUCACGGUACAAUAAUGUUACAACAUGGAUGGCUUAUUCUUUUCAGGUACAUUAACCCACCAACCUUAAAAAGCAGUUGCAUUUAACAAGACCCUAACAGACCAAAAGGAAAAUGGA